rnacentral:rRNA from 2 species
CGGCACUAGCGCGGUGGUCCCACCUGACCCCAUGCCGAACUCAGAAGUGAAACGCCGUAGCGCCGAUGGUAGUGUGGGGUCUCCCCAUGCGAGAGUAGGGAACUGCCAGGCA